AUGAUGGUGAGCAACUGGUCGAAGGUACGCGACUCACGGUUGAUGUUUUCGAAGUGUGGAUUAUUCAUUGUGUGCAGGAUUCGUCGAGUGCGGAGGAGACGAUUGAGAUUGAGAUCGUGGAUCUCACUUCGGAGGCGAGCAGAGUGGCGACUCCAGAGGCGAGCGGAGUGGCGACCGCGGGGCGGCCGCCCCCAUCCCCUGGUAAUGGUCGACGGAUCGGAGGCCGGUUUUGGGCGCUGCUCGACUGCGACGAAGAAGAUGCAGACGGUGACGGGGAUGCGCCGGCGGCAUCCCCGCCGUCGCCGACGCCAUCGGAUCUUUUUUGCGAGUUCUUCAACUCCGGCUACGACGAAGACGAGGUGGCCAACACGGUUGACAAGAUCCUGCCUCCCGACGAUCCGGCUAGGGUUGGACUACACGCGGGAGAGAAGGAGAUGGUUCGUCGCGUCGUUCAUCGGAGGACGGCGGCAGCGACGAUCAGACCAUGGAAAGGCCCCCUGCCUAAUAUUAUCUUCCGAGCCACUGCGUUGA
rnacentral:rRNA from 1 species